rnacentral:rRNA from 1 species
GACAGAGGGUGCAAACGUUGUUCGGAAUUACUGGGCGUAAAGCGCGUGUAGGCGCCCUGCAAGUCGGGUGUGAAAUCCCACGGCUCAACCGUGGAAGUGCACUCGAAACUGCAGGGCUAGAGUCCUGGAGAGGAAGGUGGAAUGCUUGGUGUAGAGGUGAAAUUCGUAGAUAUCAAGCGGAACACCGGUGGCGAAGGCGGCCUUCUGGACAGUGACUGACGCUGAGACGGCGAAAGCGUGGGGAGCAAACAGG